UACGUAGGCAGCAAGCGUUGUUCGGAGUUACUGGGCGUAAAGGGUGUGUAGGCGGUUGUUUAAGUUUGGUGUGAAAUCUCCCGGCUCAACCGGGAGGGUGCGCCGAAUACUGAAUGACUAGAGUGCGGGAGAGGAAAGUGGAAUUCCUGGUGUAGCGGUGAAAUGCGUAGAUAUCAGGAGGAACACCGGUGGUGUAGACGGCUUUCUGGACCGUAACUGACGCUGAGGAGCGAAAGCAUGGGGAGCGAACAGG
rnacentral:rRNA from 1 species